GACGAACGCUGGCGGCGUGCUUAACACAUGCAAGUCGAACGGAGAGUCCCUGCUUUUGUGGUGUGCUCGAGUGGCGAACGGGUGUGUAACACGUGUGUAACCUGCCCUUUACUUUGGGAUAACUUCAGGAAACUGGGGCUAAUACCGGAUAGGAGCUCCUGCUGCAUGGUGGUGGUUGGUAAGUUUCGGCGGUUGGGGAUGGACUCGCGGCUUAUCAGCUUGUUGGUGGGGUAGUGGCUUACCAAGGCUUUGACGGGUAGCCGGCCUGAGAGGGUGACCAGACAAGAUGGGAUUGAGAUACGGCACAGACGCCUAAGGGAGGGAACAGAGGGGAAUAUUGCACAAUGGGAGGAAGCAUGAUGCAGAAAAGCCGCGUGCGGAAUGACGGCCUACGGGUGGUAAAGAGCAUUCGGAUGUGAAGAAGGGUGAGUGACGGUAAUGGGUAAAGAAGCACCGGCUAACUACGUG
rnacentral:rRNA from 1 species